rnacentral:rRNA from 2 species
UCGGAAUCGCUAGUAAUCGUGGAUCAGAAUGCCACGGUGAAUACGUUCCCGGGCCUUGUACACACCGCCCGUCACACCAUGGGAGUGGGUUGCAAAAGAAGUAGGUAGCUUAACCUUCGGGAGGGCGCUUACCACUUUGUGAUUCAUGACUGGGGUGAAGUCGUAACAAGGUAACCGUAGGGGAACCUGCGGUUGGAUCACCUCCUUACCUUAAAGAAGC